rnacentral:lncRNA from 1 species
AAGCACCGGAGUGACAGGGCUCGCUGUCACUCGCCCGACGCUGCGAUCCGGGGCCUGGCCUCUCCCUCCCUCCCGCCCUCCCUCUGCCCGGGAAUCAGGCACCGGGUGAAACCACCAGCAACCCGGUCUCAAAACGCGCCAGGCCCGCAGGGGCUUUUUCUUUUUUUUUUUAUUGCUUCACCGCCCGGGAAAGAGCACGUGCCCCGUGUCCCCGCCCACUCUUCCGGGCCGGCCAACUGCGAGGCUCGGAUUGGGCGGCGGAGGACCACGCCCCCUCCCCGCGACCAAUCCGCUGCCUCGCUGGGCACGCUCCCUCCUUCACGGCCCCGCCUCGCCGCCCCACGUUACGUCCAUCCUUCCCCCGCCCCCCCUCCACCCCCCACUCUCCGUUAUCCCGAAGCUGCGGCUGCACGAGGCGAACCCACCUCCUCCGGCCUCCCAUUGGCCGCUGAGGUCCCGCGCGAGCGGGAUGGAGCCCUAGGUCCCCGCCCUCGGGAGCCCGGGCCCGAGCCUCCCCGAGCGGCCUUUCUCCGGGAGCCGGCGUGCGUGCGUGCGGGGGGGCGGGGGGGGGCGUGCUGUGUGGGGAGGGGGAGGGAGGCCGGCCCGCAGCGCGCGCGCGCCGCGACGACGCCCGCCUCUACGCCCGCGCGCGCCCCCGCCUCUGCGCACGCCCCGCCCCUCCCGCCCAGCCCGGCGGGCGCGCGCGCGCGCCCUCCGGAGCCGGUUCGUUCACGGAGGGUCGUCCCGCUCCUCGCGCCCGCCCGCCCGGGGAGCUGCUGGCCUCGGCGGCGUUUCCCCCUUCCCAGGCGCGCACGCUCACUCGGCGGCUCGCCGUCGCCUUCGUGCGCGCGCGCGCGCGGUCUCGCGCGCCCGUGCUCCGGGGGUCUACUGGCCCGGCCGGGCCGUUUAUCCUGCACGGUCCGCCCCGACCCCACCCCUCAGGCUCCGCCCCCGACCUCAGGCUCCGCCCUCGCCCCGCCCCCUCAGGCUCGGCGCAGGCGCACUAGUGAGAGAGAGGGGGGGUCUUCAGGGGGCCGCUCGCGGCCGCGCCAGGAAGGAGGAGGCGACGCCGCCGCCGCCGCCGCCGCCGCCAUUGCGCGGGAGCGAGCGAGCGAGCGAGCGAGCGACGCUGGUCCGCCCUCCCCCUAG